rnacentral:tRNA from 1 species
UUGUGGCUCAGGGGUAGAGCACUCACCUGGCACGUGAGAGACCCUGGGUUCGAUCCUCAGCAUAAA